GACAAGAUGGCGCUGGUUACCUCGUGUCAUAUCAAAGGGCAUUUUUGUUCACAAAUACCCGCUUAUUUUACGUUAUAGCGACUGGUUCGUUUUGGAAGUUUUAACUCAAUGGACGGGGAAAAUGAUUCUGUAUUAAAGAGAAAAAGAUGUGCAGUUAUUGUGAUGUUAUUUGUUGUGAAAGACGGCCCGAAAUUUCGCUACUUCGCUGUACUGGUUUAUAAAACAUUUACAAGCAACAGC